GACGAACGCUGGCGGCGUGCCUAAUACAUGCAAGUCGAACGCAGUGGGGACGGGUGAGUAACACGUGGGUAACCUCCCAUCAGAGGGGAUAACACUUGGAAACAGGUGCUAAACCGAUACUGAUGGAUGGACCCGCGGUUCAUUAGCUAGUUGGUGAGGUAACGGCUCACCAAGGCCAUGAUGCAUAGCCGACCUGAGAGGAUGAUCGGCAACGCUAGGGCUGAUGCACGGCCCAGACUCCUACGGGAGGCGGCAGUAGGGAAUCUUCGGCAGUGGACGAAAGUCUGACCGAGCAACGCCGCUUGAGUGAAGAGGGUUUUCGGUUCGUAGAACUCUGUUGUUAGAGGAGCGGUAACUAACAAGAAAGCCACGGCUAACUACGUGCCAGCAGCCGCGGUAAUAG
rnacentral:rRNA from 1 species